UAUGGAUCAGCAUGUGAUUUGACGCAGUAUAUAUAUAUAUAGCUCUCUGUCUUCCUGAGCUGCAAAUAACCAGCAAGAGAAGCAAGAUGAUCAUCAAAGUAAACCAGCGCUUGUUGGGUUUUGCUCUGCUCGCAAUUUAUAUCAUAAUGAUCUCUAAAACCAUUGGUUUUACUGGCAAGUGCAUAUAUUCCGUCUCUUCUAAUUUUGAAGUACUUUUGAUCACAAAUAAUUUCAUGUCCUGCUUGAUUUGCUAAUAUGCAUUUCUGUUUUUUUUUCUGGGGUCUGAUAAAUUAACAUGUUCAUGCGUAGGUUUGUAUGUGGAGAAGGUGGUCAUCCACGAACAAGCUGGUCGACCCGCCAGCCCACCACCACCUCCACCAGCAUUUCCACCAUCCCCGAGGCCCUAGAACCUCAAACGCAUGGUUACCAACGUUUAUAAGUAAUGCAUACAAAGGUUCCCACUCUUUUUUACUCUACUACUACCAACACUUAAAUUUCUGAGUUUCAUGUGUGUAUAUAUAAUUUACUUAUAUACAUAUAAUUGGAUAAAAGAAAGAAUAAAAAGAUUUCCAGUUUAAUGAAUACAUGUCUCGAUGGUGUAUCACUGCAAGAAUUUACAACUUUAAAUUCAUUUUAUGAGGAGGGUUUACCCCCUUUUAC
rnacentral:lncRNA from 1 species